rnacentral:rRNA from 1 species
CCUACGGGUGGCAGCAGUGAGGAAUAUUGGUCAAUGGGCGCGAGCCUGAACCAGCCAAGUAGCGUGAAGGAUGACUGCCCUACGGGUUGUAAACUUCUUUUAUAAAGGAAUAAAGUGAGGCACGUGUGCCUUUUUGUCUGUACUUUAUGAAUAAGGAUCGGCUAACUCCGUGCCAUCAGCCGCGGUAAUACGGAGGAUCCGAGCGUUAUCCGGAUUUAUUGGGUUUAAAGGGAGCGUAGAUGGGUUGUUAAGUCAGUGGUGAAAGUUUGCGGCUCAACCGUAAAAUUGCAAUUGAUACUGGCAGUCUUGAGUACAGUUGAGGUAGGCGGAAUUCGUGGUGUAGCGGUGAAAUGCUUAGAUAUCACGAAGAACUCCGAUUGCGAAGGCAGCUUACUAAACUGCCACUGACAUUGAUGCUCGAAAGUGUGGGUAUCAAACAGGAUUAGAUACCCCUGUAGUC